UCAGUGAGACCCUGUCUCUAAGUCAAAUACAAGGUCCUAUGUGAUAAUGUGUUGAACUAAAAUGAAUUUUAGGAGCAUAACCUGUCUAUUACCUGGAGGCUGCUGGUGGAAAAAAGAAAGGAAUCCAGUCCAACUCUGACAAUAUUCUCCAAUCAAAUAGAAUUACUCUUCAGCUUUCCUCAUCACCAUGCUGAUGACUCAUCCCAAUGAAUCCAUGUCCCCUAAAGCCCGGAUCCCAAUGACUGUCACCUCUUUGGCAUGGGUUACGUUUAUUUCUUAUUUUUGUGCACAGCAUACAUUAGCUUAUAGAAAUAAACAGAAUAAAACAGAUUUGCUUCAUCUCCUCCGCUCCAU